GAAACCCGGUGAUCUAGCCAUGGGCAGGUUGAAGGUUGGGUAACACUAACUGGAGGACCGAACCGACUAAUGUUGAAAAAUUAGCGGAUGACCUGUGGCUGGGGGUGAAAGGCCAAUCAAACCGGGAGAUAGCUGGUUCUCCCCGAAAGCUAUUUAGGUAGCGCCUCGUGAAUUCAUCUCCGGGGGUAGAGCACUGUUUCGGCCAGGGGGCCAUCCCGGCUUACCAAUCCGAUGCAAACUGCGAAUACCGGAGAAUGUUAUCACGGGAGACACACGGCGGGUGCUAACGUCCGUCGUGAAGAGGGAAACAACCCAGACCGCCAGCUAAGGUCCCAAAGUCAUGGUUAAGUGGGAAACGAUGUGGGAAGGCCCAGACAGCCAGGAUGUUGGCUUAGAAGCAGCCAUCAUUUAAAGAAAGCGUAAUAGCUCACUGGUCGAGUCGGCCUGCGCGGAAGAUGUAACGGGGCUAAACCAUGCACCGAAGCUGCGGCAGCGACACUGAUGUGUUGUUGGGUAGGGGAGCGUUCUGUAAGCCGUUGAAGGUGUGUCGUGAGGCAUGCUGGAGGUAUCAGAAGUGCGAAUGCUGACAUAAGUAACGAUAAAGCGGGUGAAAAGCCCGCUCGCCGGAAGACCAAGGGUUCCUGUCCAACGUUAAUCGGGGCAGGGUGAGUCGACCCCUAAGGCGAGGCCGAAAGGCGUAGUCGAUGGGAAACGGGUUAAUAUUCCCGUACUUGGUGUUACUGCGAAGGGGGGACGGAGAAGGCUAUGUUGGCCGGGCGACGGUUGUCCCGGUUUAAGCGUGUAGGUGUGUGUUCCAGGUAAAUCCGGUUCACUUUAACACUGAGGCGUGA
rnacentral:rRNA from 1 species